UCCGAGUUGACCCCGGCAGUCUCCCAUGAGUCCCCGCCAUUACGCGCUGGCAACAUGGAACGAGGGUUGCGCUCGUUGCGGGACUUAACCCAACAUCUCACGACACGAGCUGGCGACAGCCAUACAGCACCUGUGUGGGAUCCAGCCGAACUGAAGGGUCACAUCUCUGUAACCCAGAAUCCCCAUGUCAAGGGCUGGUAAGGUUCUUCGCGUUGCUUCGAAUUAAACCACAUGCUCCACCGCUUGUGCGGGCCCCCGUCAAUUCCUUUGAGUUUCAACCUUGCGGUCGUACUCCCCAGGCGGGGUACUUCCUGCGUUAGCGCCGGCACCCAGAGGGUCGCUCCCCCAGGCACCUAGUACCCAUCGUUUACGGCGUGGACUAC
rnacentral:misc_RNA from 1 species